GGCCGGCCUUCUCCUAAUCCCACCACGAUCCCACCAGCUCCACCAGAUCCCGUCCCCAUCCCCACGUACUCCAGCUUCUGCUCGUCGUCAACUCCCGCCGCCGGCCAAGAUCCGCCGCCGGGCAUGCCCUCCUCCGUCGCCGCCACCAGCAAGGGCGCCGCCGGACGCUCCCAUCUCCGACCAUGCCUCCUUCCAAGUUCAUCCGCGCCGCCGGCGCCCUCGAUUCCCCGCGCCGCCACUACUCCCCCAUGCCUCUGCUCGCUCCCCGCGCCGACACAGGCCGCUCUCAGCAUGGACCAUCCGCUCCCGCCGCCGGCAACAUCUCGUCGGCUGCGCGUGCUACCUAGCCGACGCAGCGGCGCGCUGCCCCGGCCGCCGCCUCCACAGGAUGCGGGUCACGCUUCCCCGACCGUCUCCCGAAUCCUCUCCAACCUCUCCUGAUUCUGCCGCCGCCAGCUUCCCCCGCAAAAAGCACGAAUCCCCGCUCGAAUCCCCGCUUUUUCCCCCGGCGAUGGCCUGACCUCCAAGUGCCACAAGUCCACAUCCUGGCCUUCCCACGGCGUGGCACUUCGUCCAGCCGCGCUCGUACUAGCGCGAGCUGACCGGCUGCAAAAUCACGUCACCCGCCUGGUGCUGCUCCUUUCGCAAGCUAGCUGUGCUCACGCUAAUGUUGCUAAUGUUGCUCUCUCUCUCGCUGAUGGUGUGUAGCUGCUUCACGUGAUGUGCAGCUGUUCUCUGCUCCUAAAGAUGCUGCCUAUUAUUUUCUAAUGAAAAGAUGCAGCCUAUUCUUUGUUUUCUGGCAGGUCAAUUUUGUUUAUACAGGCAGUACAACUUGUUCCUUAAUAUAAGUACAAGUAGAUAAAUUUGUCGAUGGCGUCGGCCGACAGUGUAGCUCAGUGUCUUCAUAGUUCAGGCAUGCAAUUUACCUGGAACCUGAACUAACAAACAAGCAUUUCUCCAAGUCUGAUAAACCAAGGAGCAUCUUCAUUUACUUGGCCAGGACAAGCUGAGUGAGAGAGAGAGCUACAGAAUGGGGAGAACGAUCCAGCCUGCAGGUAAAUAGAACUAUUCAGUUAAUGCAUGAUAUGGUUGUUCCCGCACACGAGUGCAACAGUAACCCCAGCAGGAGACGCAGGAGCAGCACUUCAUUCAACCAUCAGCAGUUCAAACGAAGGAGCUCCUCCUCGCCAAGAUUUCUGUCAGGCUCCAGGCCGCGUGCUCCGGCCGCAACCAAUCUACCUUCAUUUUCACUGUCGACGUCUGCCCCCCAUCACUGCACGAGGCUGCGGCCUUCGCUCUAUCUCCUCCCUGUUGUUCACGUGCUAACUCUGUAUUUUCUAUUUGUUGCGUUCGGCAGUACAGGUUGAUUCAGAUGAGAAGUGAAAGCCUACAUUGCUGGGAAGUCUAAAUUUUAGAUAUGGGAAUUGCAAAAUCCAGCGAUCUGCCGAGGCAGCUCCUCCCGGAAAGAUGACCUGAUGGCUGCAAUCUGAAGUUCACUAACUGAAAAAUGAAUGGUGCGCGUUAUUAUCCUUGCUAAGAACCAGAAUGGGGAUUACAACCAGCAUUUUUAUUAGAUGUACCACUAAUAUGCAUGAAGAUCCCGUUCCUCCUGUGAUGUUGCAAUAUUGGCAGCCGCCUCCCAUCGACGUCGCCUAGCGCGUAUACAAAUGUUUCUCUUUUUUGCUGAACUUUUGGUAUGCUUUACUGUCGUUUAAAAUUCUUGAUGAGAAAA